rnacentral:rRNA from 1 species
GGGUUGUGAGGUUAAGCGACUAAGCGUACACGGUGGAUGCCCUGGCAGUCAGAGGCGAUGAAGGACGUGCUAAUCUGCGAUAAGCGCCGGUAAGGUGAUAUGAACCGUUAUAACCGGCGAUUUCCGAAUGGGGAAACCCAGUGUGAUUCGUCACACUAUCAUUAACUGAAUCCAUAGGUUAAUGAGGCGAACCGGGGGAACUGAAACAUCUAAGUACCCCGAGGAAAAGAAAUCAACCGAGAUUCCCCCAGUAGCGGCGAGCGAACGGGGAGGAGCCCAGAGCCUGAAUCAGCAUGUGUGUUAGUGGAAGCGUCUGGAAAGGCGCGCGAUACAGGGUGACAGCCCCGUACACAAAAGCGCAUGUGCUGUGAGCUCGAUGAGUAGGGCGGGACACGUGGUAUCCUGUCUGAAUAUGGGGGGACCAUCCUCCAAGGCUAAAUACUCCUGACUGACCGAUAGUGAACCAGUACCGUGAGGGAAAGGCGAAAAGAACCCCGGCGAGGGGAGUGAAAAAGAACCUGAAACCGUGUACGUACAAGCAGUGGGAGCACCCUUCGGGGUGUGACUGCGUACCUUUUGUAUAAUGGGUCAGCGACUUAUAUUCUGUAGCAAGGUUAACCGUAUAGGGGAGCCGGAGGGAAACCGAGUCUUAAUUGGGCGUUAAGUUGCAGGGUAUAGACCCGAAACCCGGUGAUCUAGCCAUGGGCAGGUUGAAGGUUGGGUAACACUAACUGGAGGACCGAACCGACUAAUGUUGAAAAAUUAGCGGAUGACCUGUGGCUGGGGGUGAAAGGCCAAUCAAACCGGGAGAUAGCUGGUUCUCCCCGAAAGCUAUUUAGGUAGCGCCUCGUGAAUUCAUCUCCGGGGGUAGAGCACUGUUUCGGCUAGGGGGCCAUCCCGGCUUACCAACCCGAUGCAAACUGCGAAUACCGGAGAAUGUUAUCACGGGAGACACACGGCGGGUGCUAACGUCCGUCGUGAAGAGGGAAACAACCCAGACCGCCAGCUAAGGUCCCAAAGUCAUGGUUAAGUGGGAAACGAUGUGGGAAGGCCCAGACAGCCAGGAUGUUGGCUUAGAAGCAGCCAUCAUUUAAAGAAAGCGUAAUAGCUCACUGGUCGAGUCGGCCUGCGCGGAAGAUGUAACGGGGCUAAACCAUGCACCGAAGCUGCGGCAGCGAACGUAUCACCCAAGACAACUUUACGGAGUUGACGAUUGACGGAGCGAAGCGACGUCAAAGCGUUCAUUAAAGUCGAGUUGGCUUAGGGAUACGUUCGUUGGGUAGGGGAGCGUUCUGUAAGCCUGUGAAGGUGUGUCGUGAGGCAUGCUGGAGGUAUCAGAAGUGCGAAUGCUGACAUAAGUAACGAUAAAGCGGGUGAAAAGCCCGCUCGCCGGAAGACCAAGGGUUCCUGUCCAACGUUAAUCGGGGCAGGGUGAGUCGACCCCUAAGGCGAGGCCGAAAGGCGUAGUCGAUGGGAAACGGGUUAAUAUUCCCGUACUUGGUGUUACUGCGAAGGGGGGACGGAGAAGGCUAUGUUGGCCGGGCGACGGUUGUCCCGGUUUAAGCGUGUAGGUGUGUGUUCCAGGUAAAUCCGGUUCACUUUAACACUGAGGCGUGACGACGAGGCACUACGGUGCUGAAGCAACAAAUGCCCUGCUUCCAGGAAAAGCCUCUAAGCAUCAGGUAACACGAAAUCGUACCCCAAACCGACACAGGUGGUCAGGUAGAGAAUACCAAGGCGCUUGAGAGAACUCGGGUGAAGGAACUAGGCAAAAUGGUGCCGUAACUUCGGGAGAAGGCACGCUGACACGUAGGUGAAGUGAUUUACUCAUGGAGCUGAAGUCAGUCGAAGAUACCAGCUGGCUGCAACUGUUUAUUAAAAACACAGCACUGUGCAAACACGAAAGUGGACGUAUACGGUGUGACGCCUGCCCGGUGCCGGAAGGUUAAUUGAUGGGGUCAGCGUAAGCGAAGCUCCUGAUCGAAGCCCCGGUAAACGGCGGCCGUAACUAUAACGGUCCUAAGGUAGCGAAAUUCCUUGUCGGGUAAGUUCCGACCUGCACGAAUGGCGUAAUGAUGGCCAGGCUGUCUCCACCCGAGACUCAGUGAAAUUGAACUCGCUGUGAAGAUGCAGUGUACCCGCGGCAAGACGGAAAGACCCCGUGAACCUUUACUAUAGCUUGACACUGAACAUUGAGCCUUGAUGUGUAGGAUAGGUGGGAGGCUUUGAAGUGUGGACGCCAGUCUGCAUGGAGCCGACCUUGAAAUACCACCCUUUAAUGUUUGAUGUUCUAACGUGGACCCGUAAUCCGGGUUGCGGACAGUGUCUGGUGGGUAGUUUGACUGGGGCGGUCUCCUCCUAAAGAGUAACGGAGGAGCACGAAGGUUGGCUAAUCCUGGUCGGACAUCAGGAGGUUAGUGCAAUGGCAUAAGCCAGCUUGACUGCGAGCGUGACGGCGCGAGCAGGUGCGAAAGCAGGUCAUAGUGAUCCGGUGGUUCUGAAUGGAAGGGCCAUCGCUCAACGGAUAAAAGGUACUCCGGGGAUAACAGGCUGAUACCGCCCAAGAGUUCAUAUCGACGGCGGUGUUUGGCACCUCGAUGUCGGCUCAUCACAUCCUGGGGCUGAAGUAGGUCCCAAGGGUAUGGCUGUUCGCCAUUUAAAGUGGUACGCGAGCUGGGUUUAGAACGUCGUGAGACAGUUCGGUCCCUAUCUGCCGUGGGCGCUGGAGAACUGAGGGGGGCUGCUCCUAGUACGAGAGGACCGGAGUGGACGCAUCACUGGUGUUCGGGUUGUCAUGCCAAUGGCACUGCCCGGUAGCUAAAUGCGGAAGAGAUAAGUGCUGAAAGCAUCUAAGCACGAAACUUGCCCCGAGAUGAGUUCUCCCUGAGACUUAGAGUCUCCUGAAGGAACGUUGAAGACGACGACGUUGAUAGGCCGGGUGUGUAAGCGCAGCGAUGCGUUGAGCUAACCGGUACUAAUUAGAACGUCGUGAGACAGUUCGGUCCCUAUCUGCCGUGGGCGCUGGAGAACUGAGGGGGGCUGCUCCUAGUACGAGAGGACCGGAGUGGACGCAUCACUGGUGUUCGGGUUGUCAUGCCAAUGGCACUGCCCGGUAGCUAAAUGCGGAAGAGAUAAGUGCUGAAAGCAUCUAAGCACGAAACUUGCCCCGAGAUGAGUUCUCCCUGAGACUUAGAGUCUCCUGAAGGAACGUUGAAGACGACGACGUUGAUAGGCCGGGUGUGUAAGCGCAGCGAUGCGUUGAGCUAACCGGUACUAAUCUGCC